ACGAACGCUGGCGGCGUGCUUAACACAUGCAAGUCGAACGGAAAGGCCCCUUUGGGGGUACUCGAGUGGCGAACGGGUGAGUAACACGUGAGUAACCUGCCCUUGACUUCGGGAUAACUUCAGGAAACUGGGGCUAAUACCGGAUAGGAAUCCUUGCUGCAUGGUGGGGGGUGGAAAGGUUCGGCGGUUUUGGAUGGACUCGCGGCUUAUCAGCUUGUUGGUGGGGUAGUGGCUUACCAAGGCUUUGACGGGUAGCCGGCCUGAGAGGGCGACCGGCCACAUUGGGACUGAGAUACGGCCCAGACUCCUACGGGAGGCAGCAGUGGGGAAUAUUGCACAAUGGGCGGAAGCCUGAUGCAGCAACGCCGCGUGCGGGAUGACGGCCUUCGGGUUGUAAACCGCUUUCAGCAGGGGCGAAGCUUGUGGUGACGGUACCUGCAGAAGAAGCACCGGCUAACUACGUG
rnacentral:rRNA from 1 species